GAUGAACGCUGGCGGCGUGCCUAAUACAUGCAAGUCGAGCGAACGGACGAGAAGCUUGCUUUUCUGAUGUAAGCGGCGGACGGGUGAGUAACACGUGGAUAACCUACCUAUAAGACUGGGAUAACUUCGGGAAACCGGAGCUAAUACCGGAUAAUAUUUUGAACCGCAUGGUUCAAAAGUGAAAGACGGUCUUGCUGUCACUUAUAGAUGGAUCCGCGCUGCAUUAGCUAGUUGGUAAGGUAACGGCUUACCAAGGCAACGAUGCAUAGCCGACCUGAGAGGGUGAUCGGCCACACUGGAACUGAGACACGGUCCAGACUCCUACGGGAGGCAGCAGUAGGGAAUCUUCCGCAAUGGGCGAAAGCCUGACGGAGCAACGCCGCGUGAGUGAUGAAGGUCUUCGGAUCGUAAAACUCUGUUAUUAGGGAAGAACAUAUGUGUAAGUAACUGUGCACAUCUUGACGGUACCUAAUCAGAAAGCCACGGCUAACUACGUG
rnacentral:rRNA from 1 species